rnacentral:siRNA from 1 species
UGGCGGCAAUACGAUUGUAGUGGC